rnacentral:rRNA from 1 species
AGAGUUUGAUCAUGGCUCAGGACGAACGCUGGCGGCGUGCUUAACACAUGCAAGUCGAACGAAGAUACACAGAGGAAAUUUUCGGAUGGAAUCAGUGUAGACUGAGUGGCGGACGGGUGAGUAACGCGUGAGCAACCUGCCUACAAGAGGGGGACAACAGUUGGAAACGACUGCUAAUACCGCAUAAGACCACAGUUUCACAUGGAACAGGGGUCAAAGAUUUAUCGCUUGUAGAUGGGCUCGCGUCCCAUAGCUAGUUGGUAGGGUAAAGGCCUACCAAGGCGACGAUGGGUAGCCGACCUGAGAGGGUGAUCGGCCACACUGGAACUGAGACACGGUCCAGACUCCUACGGGAGGCAGCAGUGGGGAAUACUGGGCAAUGGGCGCAAGCCUGACCCAGCAACGCCGCGUGAGUGAAGAAGGUCUUCGGAUUGUAAAACUCUGUCCUUGGGGACGAAGUAAGUGACGGUACCCAAGGAGGAAGCUCCGGCUAACUACGUGCCAGCAGCCGCGGUAAUACGUAGGGAGCAAGCGUUGUCCGGAAUUACUGGGCGUAAAGGGUGCGUAGGCGGUUUGAUAAGUCAGAUGUGAAAUAUCCGGGCUUAACCUGGAGGGUGCAUUUGAAACUGUCAGACUUGAGUGCAGGAGAGGAAAGCGGAAUUCCUAGUGUAGCGGUGAAAUGCGUAGAUAUUAGGAGGAACACCAGUGGCGAAGGCGGCUUUCUGGACUGUAACUGACGCUGAGGCACGAAAGCGUGGGGAGCAAACAGGAUUAGAUACCCUGGUAGUCCACGCCGUAAACGAUGGAUACUAGGUGUAGGGGCCGAUAGGCUUCUGUGCCGCAGCAAACGCAAUAAGUAUCCCGCCUGGGGAGUACGACCGCAAGGUUGAAACUCAAAGGAAUUGACGGGGGCCCGCACAAGCAGCGGAGCAUGUGGUUUAAUUCGAAGCAACGCGAAGAACCUUACCAAGGCUUGACAUCCUCUGACGGAUGUAGAGAUACAUCUUCCCUUCGGGGCAGAGAGACAGGUGGUGCAUGGUUGUCGUCAGCUCGUGUCGUGAGAUGUUGGGUUAAGUCCCGCAACGAGCGCAACCCUUAUCAUUAGUUGCCAGCGAGUAGAGUCGGGAACUCUAAUGAGACUGCCGGGGACAACUCGGAGGAAGGUGGGGACGACGUCAAAUCAUCAUGCCCCUUAUGUCUUGGGCUACACACGUGCUACAAUGGCCGGUACAAAGGGCAGCGAAACCGUAAGGUCAAGCGAAUCUCAAAAAGCCGGUCCCAGUUCGGAUUGUGGGCUGCAACCCGCCCACAUGAAGUUGGAGUUGCUAGUAAUCGCGAAUCAGCAUGUCGCGGUGAAUGCGUUCCCGGGCCUUGUACACACCGCCCGUCACACCACGGAAGUUGGGGGCGCCCGAAGCCAGUGGCCUAACCGCAAGGAGGGAGCUGUCGAAGGCGAAAUCAAUGACUGGGGUGAAGUCGUAACAAGGUA